GUCUUGUACAGUAGAGCGGGACAUUUGAUUUACUCUCAGCGGAAUUGACCGGAGAAGGCAUCAGUUCAUGCACCGCACUGGCCCGCACCACGAUUAGUAUAAGGCACAUUUCACGAAGCAGAACGCAGUCUUCAGAGAUAUCCACGUGAACGCUGUGAUACGUCUGACCUUUAGUCCGAAGAAGAAACCCAGACCAGUCUUAAAAGAAAGCACAAACCAAAUCCCCUGUACACAUAUACGGACUCAGAGGAUGAGCAGCCUACAAAAAAACGGUUUCCCCAGGCCCCUCGAGUGAAAAUACCAGCCCUCAUCACUCCGCAGUCUGCCCCCCAGCCCACUGAUAGCAACCAUCAUAAUGCCCCACCCAGCUUCCGGCACCUUUCGCCACUCCGGCACAAACCGACACAGCUUUGCGAUCUCGCCAGCAUGCAGAGUCUGAUGUCUUCCCUAUAGAUGAUUCCAGAGACUCUGUGAGGCCACUAUUGCAAGGUGAGACGCUUUGCGUUGAUUGGUGCUGCUGGACCACACUGGAGGUGCGAGUCCGCUGUGUAAUGGUUUAUGCCAUUACAAAGGAGCUGGCCUCUGUACUCAACUGGGCAGGGAAAAAAUACCAAGGGCCAGACAAAGCAAAAAAGGGCAUUUAAAGAGACAGCGCUGUGCAGAUGCAUAUUUGAUGGCCUGGCGCAGCAGGUAGGGGCGAACUCUAUGUCUGAGUUGGUCUUUGCUCAAGCAGUCCAGAAAUGGCUCAGAUAUACUCCAGGUCGUACGGGUGGCGCGCAGGACACACAUCAUCCAUCCCCAUCCCGGAGUAAAUGAUAAAAAGUGACGUGAAACAUAGAAAUGUAAAUAGGAAACUUUGUCUUUUAAU